rnacentral:misc_RNA from 1 species
CCGAGUUUACAACUCCCAAACCCAUGUGAACAUAGCCUACUGUUGCUUCGGCGGGAUUGCCCCGGGCGCCUCGUGUGCCCCGGAUCAGGCGCCCGCCUAGGAGACUUAACUCUUGUUUUAUUUUGGAAUCUUCUGAGUAGUUUUUACAAAUAAAUAA